CGAAAGCCUGAUGCAGCAACGCCGCGUGCGCGAUGAAGGCCUUCGGGUCGUAAAGCACUUUUCUGGGAGAUGAGAAAGGACAGUAUCCCAGGAAUAAGUCUCGGCUAACUACGUGCCAGCAGCCGCGGUAACACGUAGGAGGCGAGCGUUAUCCGGAUUCACUGGGCGUAAAGCGCGUGCAGGCGGUUUGGUAAGUUGGUCGUGAAAGCUCCCGGCUCAACUGGGAGAGGUCGUCCAAGACUACCAGACUAGAGAGCAGAAGAGGAAGAUGGAAAUUCCGGGUGUAGUGGUGAAAAUGCGUAGAUAUCCGGAGGAACACCAGUGGCGAAGGCGAUCUUCUGGUCUGUUUCUGACGCUCAGACGCGACAGCUAGGGUAGUAAACGGGAUUAGAGACCCCGGUAAUCCUAGCCGUAAACGAUGUGAACUUGGCGUUGGUGGCUUAAACACCAUCAGUGCCGAAGCAAACGCGAUAAGUUCACCGCCUGGGGACUACGGCCGCAAGGUUA
rnacentral:rRNA from 1 species